rnacentral:rRNA from 1 species
UACGGAGGGGGCUAGCGUUGUUCGGAAUUACUGGGCGUAAAGCGCACGUAGGCGGCUUUGCAAGUUAGAGGUGAAAGCCCGGGGCUCAACUCCGGAAUUGCCUUUAAAACUGCAUCGCUAGAAUUGUGGAGAGGUAAGUGGAAUUCCGAGUGUAGAGGUGAAAUUCGUAGAUAUUCGCAAGAACACCAGUGGCGAAGGCGGCUCACUGGUCCAUAACUGACGCUGAGGCACGAAAGCGUGGGGAGCAAACAGG